GGAUAUAGCUCAGUUGGUAGAGUGCUUGCCUCACAUGUACAAGGCCCUGGAUUCAAGCCCCAGCACCA
rnacentral:tRNA from 1 species